GGCCUGUGAUUUCAACAAUUUGUCCGUACCAUCUGAUGCAUCUGAUGAUUCACAUUUGCUAAUGCGUCUCUGAGGCCC
rfam:Triticum aestivum genome assembly, contig: Triticum_aestivum_CS42_TGACv1_scaffold_000693_1AL